GGGGACAACAGUUGGAAACGACUGCUAAUACCGCAUAAAAUAACGGAAUCGCAUGAUUCUGUUAUCAAAGGAGAAAUCCGCUGAAAGAUGGGCUCGCGUCUGAUUAGAUAGUUGGUGAGGUAACGGCCCACCAAGUCGACGAUCAGUAGCCGGACUGAGAGGUUGAACGGCCACAUUGGGACUGAGACACGGCCCAGGCUCCUACGGGAGGCAGCAGUGGGGGAUAUUGGACAAUGGGGGAAACCCUGAUCCAGCGAUGCCGCGUGAGGGAAGAAGGUUUUCGGAUUGUAAACCUCUGUGGACAGGGACGAUAAUGACGGUACCUGUCAAGAAAGCCACGGCUAACUACGUGCCAGCAGCCGCGGUAAUACGUAGGUGGCGAGCGUUGUCCGGAAUUACUGGGUGUAAAGGGAGUGUAGGCGGGAAGGCAAGUCAGAAGUGAAAAUUAUGGGCUCAACCCAUAACCUGCUUUUGAAACUGUUUUUCUUGAGUGAAGCAGAGGCAAGCGGAAUUCCUAGUGUAGCGGUGAAAUGCGUAGAUAUUAGGAGGAACACCAGUGGCGAAGGCGGCUUGCUGGGCUUUUACUGACGCUGAGGCUCGAAAGCGUGGGGAGCAAACAGGAUUAGAUACCCUGGUAGUCCACGCCGUAAACGAUGAUUACUAGGUGUGGGGGGAUGAACCCUUCCGUGCCGGAG
rnacentral:rRNA from 1 species